UGGCGCCCAGAAAGUGGGGCUGGAGUACGAAGGGACCAGUGAAGAUCACCUCAGUUUUUUUUUGGUCAGCCAAUGAAUUUUGUAUGGACGAUGUCUUGCACGGGAAUCUGCCACCUCGACUAGGGAUCCUAGUAAGUUUGCGGUGAUCACUGAGACAGACCUUGAAUAGCCAUGAAUUAUUUGUGGAAAGGUUGAAAAAGGCUUUAAAGGUGUGAGGGAUGAAGGUUAAAAUACAUGAUUGGCUUGCAUUUUUUUAUUUUGUUUAAGAGAUUUGCCCAU
rfam:Mus musculus chromosome 3, GRC primary reference assembly.